UACACUCCUACGGGAGGCAGCAGUGGGGAAUUUUGGACAAUGGGCGAAAGCCUGAUCCAGCAAUGCCGCGUGAGUGAAGAAGGCCUUCGGGUUGUAAAGCUCUUUUGUCAGGGAAGAAACGGUGAGAGCUAAUAUCUCUUGCUAAUGACGGUACCUGAAGAAUAAGCACCGGCUAACUACGUGCCAGCAGCCGCGGUAAUACGUAGGGUGCAAGCGUUAAUCGGAAUUACUGGGCGUAAAGCGUGCGCAGGCGGUUUUGUAAGUCUGAUGUGAAAUCCCCGGGCUCAACCUGGGAAUUGCAUUGGAGACUGCAAGGCUAGAAUCUGGCAGAGGGGGGUAGAAUUCCACGUGUAGCAGUGAAAUGCGUAGAUAUGUGGAGGAACACCGAUGGCGAAGGCAGCCCCCUGGGUCAAGAUUGACGCUCAUGCACGAAAGCGUGGGGAGCAAACAGGAUUAGAAACCCUGGUAGUCCCA
rnacentral:rRNA from 1 species